CCGGGUUGCGGACAGUGUCUGGUGGGUAGUUUGACUGGGGCGGUCUCCUCCCAAAGAGUAACGGAGGAGCACGAAGGUUAGCUAAUCCUGGUCGGACAUCAGGAGGUUAGUGCAAUGGCAUAAGCUAGCUUGACUGCGAGAGUGACGGCUCGAGCAGGUGCGAAAGCAGGUCAUAGUGAUCCGGUGGUUCUGAAUGGAAGGGCCAUCGCUCAACGGAUAAAAGGUACUCCGGGGAUAACAGGCUGAUACCGCCCAAGAGUUCAUAUCGACGGCGGUGUUUGGCACCUCGAUGUCGGCUCAUCACAUCCUGGGGCUGAAGUAGGUCCCAAGGGUAUGGCUGUUCGCCAUUUAAAGUGGUACGCGAGCUGGGUUUAGAACGUCGUGAGACAGUUCGGUCCCUAUCUGCCGUGGGCGCUGGAGAAUUGAGGGGGGCUGCUCCUAGUACGAGAGGACCGGAGUGGACGCAUCACUGGUGUUCGGGUUGUCAUGCCAAUGGCACUGCCCGGUAGCUAAAUGCGGAAGAGAUAAGUGCUGAAAGCAUCUAAGCACGAAACUUGCCCCGAGAUGAGUUCUCCCUGAG
rnacentral:rRNA from 1 species